rnacentral:misc_RNA from 1 species
GUGGCAAUCGUUGUGUGCAAAUACGGAACUGGUUUGACUAUCGUAAUCAUAUCUGUAUUGUUUUUGAGAAGCUUGGACCAAGCUUAUACGAUUUUCUUCGCAAAAACAAUUAUCGCUCAUUUCCCAUUGAUCUUGUCCGUGAGAUUGGAAGACAACUGUUGGAAUGUGUAGCAUUUAUGCAUGACUUGCGCCUGAUUCAUACUGAUUUGAAACCUGAGAACAUUCUUCUUGUUUCUGCUGAUUAUAUUAAAGUUCUUGAUUACAAGGGUUUGUCUCGAUCACAAAAGGAAA